rnacentral:rRNA from 1 species
UACGUAGGGUGCAAGCGUUAAUCGGAAUUACUGGGCGUAAAGCGUGCGCAGGCGGUUAUGCAAGACAGAUGUGAAAUCCCCGGGCUCAACCUGGGAACUGCAUUUGUGACUGCAUGGCUAGAGUACGGUAGAGGGGGAUGGAAUUCCGCGUGUAGCAGUGAAAUGCAUAGAUAUCGUCAAGAACACCGAUAGCGAAGGCAGCUUACUAAGUUGUAACUGACGCUGAUGCACGAAAGUGUGGGGAUCAAACAGG